rnacentral:lncRNA from 1 species
ACAGGACCAGGCCCAAAAGUGUGCGGCUAGAAAGGAAGCAUUCAACAAAGAGCCUAUGGGGACGAUGCGUAUCCAAACCUUAGCACCAAUCACUUUGUAAUUUAUUUACCGUCACCAUAACAGAAGCGCCAUGAGGUGGCCGUCGGCUUCACACGGAGUCUGAUGAACUCGCUGUAAACAGGAGAAAAAUAAACCGCACCUGUGCAAGGCAGCGCUCAGAGCUUCGAUGCUGGCAGGAGAGCCCAAGGUGACAUGGGAGUCCAGGGUUCCUACUGGAGGUCACAGGAAGAAAACAGAAGUACAGAGGUCUCCAGUUGGGACGUCUUAAAAGAGUCUUUAGUGAGAUAAACGGAACAGUGCUGUCAACACUUGGAACAACUGAAGACAACAGGAUUCUGCUCUGAUAAGGAAGUGGGCACCAGCAAACACAGUGGUUGGGAGCCAGCAAGCCUCAAUGAUCAUUUGUGCCCCAUGCCCCUGGAGAAACAUGGACUGAAAUUCCAGAAAUGGGGAUGUUUUGUCUGGAGCAGCUGAUAGCAUUUGUCAAACCCAAGACUGAACACUGCUGUCACUGUGGGGAAAGGCGGCUCACCACCUACUCAGAACAGGAACGGGCCAGAGGAUGCAGCUCAGCUUCACAGUAAAGGCCAGCCUACAAUCUGACAGAGGAAAAUCAGCAGCAGUUGAAGCCAGAGACCUGUCAGGAGGCUCUCCACCUGCACACACCUUCCCUGUGAGGUAGCAGAAGCUGCUGCCACGAGGACAACCCCAGGACAAAGCAUGGUGACAGGUUUGCUUGAACGUUGUAACGAGCUUGUCAUUAUUUGUUUCCAUUCAAGGAAGUCAGCAAAAUUGUAAUGAUCUUACGAAACAUCCACAAGCGUCGCUCGGCUCCUGGAGAACAGCGAGGCCUCUUCUUUACUCGGGCAUUUUUAGUGCUGUGACCUCAGGCUUCAUUUUAAAGUACUGGUUAAAACGGACAACCGCAUACCUAGUGGGGAAAGAACAAGGCAGAGUCAGAGCUGCCCUGAGCUGACUGCACAGAGGCCACACUGCCAGUGUGCAUGCUUCACCUGCUGCUGCUGCCCCUGCUGGACACGCCCCGUGCUGAGCAGGCAAAGGCAACAGAAGCGCCAGGAGACGGCUCAGAGGGUAAGUGAAGUGGCCUCCACCAGUCAAGCCCGGCAAGCUUUAAGUCUCCAGAGUCCACAUGGCAGAAGAAGAGAAAGGAUCCCCCCUAGGUCAUCCUCUGACCCCACCCAUCCUGUGGCAUGAGCAUGCUCACACCUACACAAAAUCAAUAAAUGCGUGUAAACA